rnacentral:rRNA from 1 species
GACGUAGGGGGGCGAGCGUUGUCCGGAUUCAUUGGGCGUAAAGCGCGCGCAGGCGGCUCGGAUAGUCGGGUGUGAAAACCCGGGGCUCAACCCCGGGCCUGCAUUCGAUACUGCCGGGCUAGAGGCAGGUAGGGGAGAGUGGAAUUCCUGGUGUAGCGGUGAAAUGCGCAGAUAUCAGGAGGAACACCAAUAGCGAAGGCAGCUCGCUGGGACGUUACUGACACUGAGGCGCGAAAGCGUGGGGAGCGAACAGG